UGUUCUUCUGUCUGUCGUUUUCCAUCUUCCCCGUUUCAGAUAACUAAUAAUAAAUAAUGUUGAAUAUGAAUAUUGUUGUGGAAUUAUUCCUUGUUUCAUGGGCUAAUUUGGGAUUUAUACAUUAUUAUUACAUACUUAUAUAU